rnacentral:rRNA from 1 species
GACUGCUAGUCAGCGCUCAUCAGCCAAAGGUGAGUGCGGCGCACAGCUCAGUAACACGUGGCUAACCUGCCCUUGGGACGGGGACACCCCCGGGAAACUGGGGCUAAUCCUCGAUAGGUGAAGAACUCUGGAAUGAGUCUCCGCCCAAAAGGCGCUUGCGCUAUGCUCGCAGGUGUUGCCCAAGGAUGGGGCCGCGACCGAUCAGGUUGUUGGCGAGGUAAUGGCUCACCAAGCCUUUUACCGGUGCGGGCCGUGGGAGCGGGAGCCCGGAGAUGGGCACUGAGACAAGGGCCCAGGCCCUACGGGGCGCAGCAGUCGCGAAAACUUUGCAAUACACGAAAGUGUGACAGGGCUAUCCCGAGUGCCAUCCGCUGAGGAAGGCUUUUACCCAGUGUAGAUAGCUGGGGGAAUAAGGAGAGGGCAAGACUGGUGUCAGCCGCCGCGGUAAUACCAGCUCUCCGAGUGGUGUGGAUGUUUAUUGGGCCUAAAGCAUCCGUAGCUGGCUGGGCAAGUCCCCUGUUAAAUCCACCGAUUCAAUCGUUGGAGUGCGGGGGAAACUGCUCGGCUAGGGGACGGGAGAGGCCGACGGUAUUUCCGGGGUAGGGGUGAAAUCCUAUAAUCCCGGGAAGACCACCAGUGGCGAAGGCUGUCGGCUAGAACGCGCCCGACGGUGAGGGAUGAAAGCUGGGGGAGCGAACCGGAUUAGAUACCCGGGUAGUCCCAGCUGUAAACGAUGCAGGCUAGGUGUUUGGACGGCCACGUGCCGUUCUAGUGCCGCAAGGAAGCUGUUAAGCCUGCCGCCUGGGGAGUACGAUCGCAAGAUUGAAACUUAA